rnacentral:rRNA from 1 species
AAUAGAUACCCAGGGUAGUCCACACCGUAAACGUUGGGCGCUAGGUGUGGGGCCUAUUCAUGGGUUCGUGCCGCAGCUAACGCAUUAAGCGCCCCGCCCUGGGGGAGGUACGGCCGCAAGGACUAAAACUACAAGGAAAUUGACGGGGGGCCCGGCACAAGCGGCGGGAGCAUGCGGGUAUUUAAUUCGAUGACAACGGCGAAGAACCCUUUACCUGGGUUUGACUAUACACCGGUAAAGGCGCCAGAGAGUGGUGCCCCUUUUGGUCGGUUGUACAGGGUGGUGCAGUGGCUGGUCGUC